CAUGCUAUGGAUAGCUCAGUUGGUUAGAGCUUGGUGCUGAUAGUGCCAAGGCUGCAGGUUCGAUCCCUGUAUGGCUUGG